AGGAAUUUAUUUUGAAAGCAGAACAGAACAAGCCAAUAGUUAACCUCCCAGCUGACCUUCUAGAUAUUGAAAUAUGCUCUUGGAAGCUGAUGAACAAAAGGAAUAAGGUAGAUUUCUCAUACUGCAGCAUUUAGAUAUUGUUGCAGAUGAGGAUGUCAUUGGUACAUUUUUUUCACUGGCAAUGCUUUUUCUUUCUGGAUUUGACUGUGUCCGCAGGCUUGCAACAGUUGUGACUGGGUUGUGCACACUCAGCAUUUCAAAACCUCCAGGCUUGUGGAUUCUGCUAUCUUGCUGGUGUAAUUUUUCUGUCUCCAGCCUGAACCUUCCAAUUGCAGUUCAUGUCAACUGCCUCUGGCCUUUUUCUGCCCCAUGCUGAACCAGUCCUGGCCACCCAAGCCUUUCCUGCAAGGCAAGUGCUCCAGCCUCACUGCCUCAGUAGUCUCCAAUGAGCCCCACUGCAUGGGCAAUGUCACUCCUGUCUGCAAUUCUAGAAAAGAAGCAGAGCCCAGAUUAGGCCUUCUGAGUGCUGUGUGGAGGGGAUGGAUCACCCCUGCUGCCCCCAGCAGGGGAGAAAGAAAGGAGAAGAUCCCCAGGAGCUAGCCACAGGCUGCCUUUGACUUGGUAUGGAAGGAAGCAAUGUAUGCAGAGGGCAAAGCAGCAGUGCUGGCAUGUGGGGAGAGCCAGUAGGCCUGUAUCCUGCUGCCUCAGAGGAAAACAUAGGUUUUUUUGAAGGCAGCCCUAUGCUUUAUGGAUCUGGAGAUUUGUCAUGUCUGGGGCAACGUGGGAAGACUUGAUCAAAGCCUCUGACACUGCUGCAAAAUGCUAGCAGUGAGAACACACAAUAUAGAGAAUGGAAUGGCCAGAGGAACUGUGGAAAACCCAGAUGCGUUUGCUGAGGUUGGAGUGCUGCAGGUUAUAGUGCCCAUUGUGAUGUCCCUGACAACACGUCCUUGCACAAGCCAUAGUGACUUAUGCAGCAGUGGAUUGUGACCUCUUAGCCCUCACUGCUUGUAGCCAGGCACAGAGUCUCUGACUCUGGCUUGUGCCAGCACUCCAGCCGAGUGUGUCUGUGAGGUCUGGAGCGAGCAAGCCUUGGCGCUGGUCUUGUGCUCUGGGAGCUGCUGACAGCUGCUCUCAGUGCUUGUCCCCAGAGCCAUUUGAGCUUCUUCCCCACUCUGGUUCAGGCAGCUGGGGCACCCAGGAGGCCGCAGCAGCAAAGGGAAACGCAUGACCCCUGCUGCUGCAGCAGUGGUGUGAGGGAGCAGCCCCUCAUCCCCUGUGUACCACAGCAGCUGCACAGUAUGGCCACUGAGAUGGACCAUCGCUGCCCCAUUUGCCUGGACACCAUUAAUAAUGCCAGCUAUGUCAUGCCAUGCCUGCACCAGUUUUGCUUUGGCUGCAUUCGGCAAUGGAGUGAGAACAGCCUCACAUGCCCCAUCUGCAAACGGAGGAUGAGAUCAAUCUUGCACUCAGUGCAUGCAGACAACAGCUUCAGUGAGUUUGUUGUCAGAAGGCCUGAGCGUGCCAGGAGAGC
rnacentral:lncRNA from 1 species